UACGUAGGGCGCAAGCGUUGUCCGGAAUUAUUGGGCGUAAAGAGCUCGUAGGCGGCUUGUCACGUCGAUUAUGAAAGCCCGAGGCUUAACCUCGGGUCUGCAGUCGAUACGGGCUAGCUAGAGUGUGGUAGGGGAGAUCGGAAUUCCUGGUGUAGCGGUGAAAUGCGCAGAUAUCAGGAGGAACACCGGUGGCGAAGGCGGAUCUCUGGGCCAUUACUGACGCUGAGGAGCGAAAGCGUGGGGAGCGAACAGG
rnacentral:rRNA from 1 species